rnacentral:misc_RNA from 1 species
UGUCAGCGUCUGGCUCGCAAAGUAAGUUAUAUUCAUGAAUUUUAUCUAAACUGGAACUGCUAUUUCUGUUUUUUAUCUAUUAUUUAAUUAUUUUGUAAUGCUUCUUGUAGAAGUAUGAUCUCAACAUUGAUAACUAUAAAUGGUCCUCUUAUUGCAGUUAUUGGAUAAUUUUUGUUUAGGAUAGGCUUGUCCUAGAUUGUAUUCAAGUGAUGAUGCAAACCUCAAUAACGAUGCCUUGAAA